rnacentral:rRNA from 1 species
GAUGAACGCUGGCGGCGUGCCUAAUACAUGCAAGUCGAGCGAAUGGAUUAAGAGCUUGCUCUUAUGAAGUUAGCGGCGGACGGGUGAGUAACACGUGGGUAACCUGCCCAUAAGACUGGGAUAACUCCGGGAAACCGGGGCUAAUACCGGAUAAAAUUUUGAACCGCAUGGUUCGAAAUUGAAAGGCGGCCUCGGCUGUCACUUAUGGAUGGACCCGCGUCGCAUUAGCUAGUUGGUGAGGUAACGGCUAACCAAGGCAACGAUGCGUAGCCGACCUUAGAUGGUGAUCGGCCACACUGGGACUGAGACACGGCCCAGACUCCUACGGGAGGCAGCAGUAGGGAAUCUUCCGCAAUGGACGAAAGUCUGACGGAGCAACGCCGCGUGAGUGAUGAAGGCUUUCGGGUCGUAAAACUCUGUUGUUAGGGAAGAACAAGUGCUAGUUGAAUAAGCUGGCACCUUGACGGUACCUAACCAGAAAGCCACGGCUAACUACGUGCCAGCCGCCGCUGUAA